CAACCUGGUUGAUCCUGCCAGUAGUCAUAUGCUUGUCUCAAAGACUAAGCCAUGCAUGUCUAAGUAUAAACACUUUUAUACUCGUGAAACUGCGAAUGGCUCAUUAAAACAGUUAUAGUUCCUUUGGGAACAACACUACUUGGAUAACCGUAGUAAUUCUAGAGCUAAUACAUGCCUCAACGCCCGACUCACGAAGGGUGGUAUUUAUUGGAUAAAAAACCAUCGUGCUCUGUCCAGAGCGCUUUGAGAUGAUUCACAAUAACUUGUCGGAUCGCAUGGCCUCGUGCUGGCGACUCCUCAUUCAAAUUUCUGCCCUAUCAACUUUCGAUGGUAGAGUAUUGGUCUACCAUGGUGUCGACGGGUGACGGGGAAUUAGGGUUCGAUUCCGGAGAGGGAGCCUGAGAAACGGCUACCACAUCCAAGGAAGGCAGCAGGCGCGCAAAUUACCCAAUCCCGACUCGGGGAGGUAGUGACAAAAAAUAACAAUAGGGGGCCCUUUGGGUCUUCUAAUUGGAAUGAGAACAAUUUAAAUCCCUUAUCGAGGAUCCAUUGGAGGGCAAGUCUGGUGAACGUAUGCAUUAAAGCCCUCCGUAAUAAAAAAAAACAGCGCCAGAUGUCUCUCUCUGGAAGCACACCAUGCAUGGGGUUUGUUCCUCUCUGCAUGGCCGUGUGAAAAAGGCGAGUAGGCAAACGAUGGGAAACCCGGCUUGGAAUAGUAACCAGCCACAGAGCCCCCAUCAUACACUUCUAAAUUGCCGGGGAGUGCCCGCGAGGCCUUGACUACCGCGGUCCGCCGAGAGGUGAGAGCGAGCAAUCGUUCAGGACGCAGCAGUGUACGUAGUGGUACAUGGAUGGUAAAAACGUCAAGGAUAGGGUUGAUCCGCAGGGAAGCGCGAGUGCCGCCAUGGUCGGUGGGCAAAGGCGAACCUUCAGAGACUCUAAUGGAGUGGGCGCAAGCUUAAGGGAGAGUCCAAUCCACUGGGAAACCAGGUCCACAGCAGUAACGGGGUGAUGCUCGCCCCAGAGGACUGUGGAAGGCAACCCCACCAAAAGGGUGUGUGUGUUGUCGGGUAGCAAUGGCCAGCAGCCGCGGUAAUUCCAGCUCCAAUAGCGUAUAUUAAAGUUGUUGCAGUUAAAACGCUCGUAGUCGGACCUCGGAGCGCCCCCACGGGCCGGGCUUUUGCCUUGUUGCCAGUGGGAGUUUGUCUCCUUUUGUCGGGACGCGGUGUGCAGGGCCUUUACUGUCUCUGCGCGUUUACCUGCGGGCCGACCGUUUACUGUGAAGAAAGUAAAGUGUUCAAAGCAGGCCAAUGCCUUGAAUAUGUGAGCAUGGAAUAAUAGAAUAGGACUUGGGCUCUAUUUUGUUGGUUUCCAGUGACCAAGUAAUGAUUAAUAGGGACGGUUGGGGGCAUUCGUAUUUCAUUGUCAGAGGUGAAAUUCUUGGAUUGAUGGAAGACGUACAACUGCGAAAGCAUCUGCCAUGGAUGUUUUCAUUGAUCAAGAACGAAAGUUAGGGGAUCGAAGACGAUCAGAUACCGUCGUAGUCUUAACCAUAAACGAUGCCGACUGGGGAUUGGCGGGGGCACUUUUAUAUGACUCUGUCAGCACCCUGAGGGAAACCAAAGUCUUUGGGUUCUGGGGGGAGUAUGGUCGCAAGGCUGAAACUUAAAGGAAUUGACGGAAGGGCACCACCAGGAGUGGAGCCUGCGGCUUAAUUUGACUCAACACGGGAAAACUUACCAGGUCCGGACAGAAGAAUGAUUGACAGACUGAAAGCUCUUUCUUGAUUUUUUGGUUGGUGGUGCAUGGCCGUUCUUAGUUGGUGGAGUGAUUUGUCUGGUUAAUUCCGUUAACGAACGAGACCUCGUCCUGCUAAAUAGGUGCGCGCAUGCCAGCACUGCGUUCUUACCUUCUUAGAGGGACUAUGCGCGUCUAGCGUAUGGAAGAUUGAGGCAAUAACAGGUCUGUGAUGCCCUUAGAUGUUCUGGGCCGCACGCGCGCUACACUGAUGCAUUCAACGAGUUUCACUUGAUAGUCCUGGGUCGGAAGGCUCGGGUAAUCUUUUGAAAGUGCAUCGUGCUGGGGAUAGAUCAUUGCAAUUAUUGAUCUUCAACGAGGAAUUCCUUGUAGGCGCAGGUCAUCAGCCUGCGCCGAAUACGUCCCUGCCCUUUGUACACACCGCCCGUCGCUCCUACCGAUUGAAUGGUCCGAUGAAAUGUCCGGAUCGCGGCUAGUGUGAUGGACUCGUCCAGAGCGGUAGCCGUGAGAAGCUCAUUAAAUCUUAUCAUUUAGAGGAAGGAGAAGUCGUAACAAGGUUUCCGUAUUUUGUGGGUGGAUACCGAUUCAAUAACAUCCGCCAUUUUUCUCAAUGUACUAUAUCCCUAGUCUGCUUGCCUAGUUCUUGGAGUCUCGUGCGAUGUGUGCCAUCAAAGGCACGCCGGGUCAUGAAGACAGACAAGGUUAGGAUCUUCACGGAAGUACGCGCAAUAGGAGCGCGUCUUGUUCAACGCACCUGACUCAAGAGUCAUAUGCGAGGGACGGACGCAGCGCUUGUCGCCGCACAGAUGGGAAGCUUCCUCUCCAGGCAUAGGAUGGCGCUGCAUUUGCAUCACCGCUGCUAGUAAGUGGCAAUAAUACUUGACCCCCCGCCAGCGCACUUGUACAUAGCCGUUGGCGGCGGGGACGUAGUUGGUGAUGUGACAGCCUCGAGCGUUCACCUCCGUGUGUCCGCCAAUCUGCACAAAGAUGGACGCCAUAUCGGAGACAGGGGGAGGUGCCAUUGUGAUGAUGAUGAUGAUGUUGUUGGGUGGUCCUUCCGUAGGAAAACGUACACGAAGCCUUUGCGGCCCGAAAGGGUGCACAGUGCGCGACUAUAAACACUGAUUCUGUGGUCAACGCAAGCAGCGGUUCUGUGACAGAACAGCUGCGACUUUCUCAAAUUGCGGGAACACCCUAAAGUCAACAAACACCGCGGCCGGACGUGAAAGCGUCAGGCGCAGCAGUCGGGGUAGCGCCCUGGCGGAAGGUAAUAGCUUUGUUGAAUGGCACAAUGGGCAAUCCGCAGCCAAGCCCCUAAGGUCCUUUUUGCGGGUCUAUGGGGAAGGUUCACAGACUGUAAGGGAGGGGGUUUCUUCCAUAAAGAAGCUUAAGAGACAGUCGGUCCCCUGCGAAAGCAGUGUCUCAUGUGAGGAAGGCGCCCAUGAAAAGUGGGCGCUGGAGAGCCAUGGGAGCCCUCUAUGAGGGUGGGGAGUUUUCCUAGAUAAUAAUGAGAAACAAAACACGUUCCGUAGGUGAACCUGCAAAGGGAUCAAGCU
rnacentral:rRNA from 2 species